GUGGGGAAUUUUGGACAAUGGGCGCAAGCCUGAUCCAGCAAUGCCGCGUGCAGGAAGAAGGCCUUCGGGUUGUAAACUGCUUUUGUACGGAACGAAACGGUCCGGGUUAAUACCCUGGGCUAAUGACGGUACCGUAAGAAUAAGCACCGGCUAACUACGUGCCAGCAGCCGCGGUAAUACGUAGGGUGCAAGCGUUAAUCGGAAUUACUGGGCGUAAAGCGUGCGCAGGCGGUUUUGUAAGACAGGCGUGAAAUCCCCGGGCUCAACCUGGGAAUUGCGCUUGUGACUGCAAGGCUGGAGUGCGGCAGAGGGGGAUGGAAUUCCGCGUGUAGCAGUGAAAUGCGUAGAUAUGCGGAGGAACACCGAUGGCGAAGGCAAUCCCCUGGACCUGUACUGACGCUCAUGCACGAAAGCGUGGGGAGCAAACAGGAUUAGAUACCCUAGUAGUCC
rnacentral:rRNA from 1 species